rnacentral:rRNA from 1 species
GAUGAACGCUGGCGACGUGCCUAAUACAUGCAAGUAGAACGCUGAAGCUUGGUGCUUGCCCCGAGCGGAUGAGUUGCGAACGGGUGAGUAACGCGUAGGUAACCUGCCUCUUAGCGGGGGAUAACUAUUGGAAACGAUAGCUAAUACCGCAUAAAAGUCGAUAUCGCAUGAUAUUGAUUUGAAAGGUGCAAUUGCAUCACUAAGAGAUGGACCUGCGUUGUAUUAGCUAGUUGGUGAGGUAACGGCUCACCAAGGCGACGAUACAUAGCCGACCUGAGAGGGUGAUCGGCCACACUGGGACUGAGACACGGCCCAGACUCCUACGGGAGGCAGCAGUAGGGAAUCUUCGGCAAUGGGGGCAACCCUGACCGAGCAACGCCGCGUGAGUGAAGAAGGUUUUCGGAUCGUAAAGCUCUGUUGUAAGAGAAGAACGAGUGUGAGAGUGGAAAGUUCACACUGUGACGGUAACUUACCAGAAAGGGACGGCUAACUACGUG